rnacentral:lncRNA from 1 species
UGGACUGCCUGUAAAAGUGGCCUUUUUGCUUACAAGUCACUUUUCCCUCUGUAAUAGCUUAGGAGAUCUGAGGAGGAUGAAGAGAAAGAAGAGGAUAUUGAAGUUCCAAAGGCCAUGGGGGAUAUUUUUGAGUCGCUUGCUGGUGCCAUUUACAUGGAUAGUGGGAUGUCACUGGAGACAGUCUGGCAGGUGUACUAUCCCAUGAUGCGGCCACUAAUAGAAAAGUUUUCUGCAAAUGUACCCCGUUCCCCUGUGCGAGAAUUGCUUGAAAUGGAACCAGAAACUGCCAAAUUUAGGUAAGCAAAAAAUGUACAUGGAAAAAACAUUAACUUAAAAACAUCAAAGGGGAAAAGUUCACAAAGAUAUUGUAAACUAAUGAUUCUGAAAAAUAUUUACACUGUGGUGUGCUGUUGUCAGAUUUCUGUUUGUAAUCUGAUUGACUUCUCUUUUUUCCUUCUGUUUUUAUGAAAUAAUGCUGUAAUAAAGACUAGACGGCAGCCCUGUCUGUCGGGGGUAUGCAAUUGCAGUAAGUCGUAACGCGUGUUUCCUUUGUGUGGUGUCAGCUUAUACAUGGGACUCCUGGCCUGAGAGUGCACACUAAAUGCUGAUUGACAAUGAUAAUAAAUACUUCUGACUUCUAAUUCAAGCUGUUUGGAUUUUUUACA